UGGGCGUUAAGUUGCAGGGUAUAGACCCGAAACCCGGUGAUCUAGCCAUGGGCAGGUUGAAGGUUGGGUAACACUAACUGGAGGACCGAACCGACUAAUGUUGAAAAAUUAGCGGAUGACCUGUGGCUGGGGGUGAAAGGCCAAUCAAACCGGGAGAUAGCUGGUUCUCCCCGAAAGCUAUUUAGGUAGCGCCUCGUGAAUUCAUCUCCGGGGGUAGAGCACUGUUUCGGCUAGGGGGCCAUCCCGGCUUACCAACCCGAUGCAAACUGCGAAUACCGGAGAAUGUUAUCACGGGAGACACACGGCGGGUGCUAACGUCCGUCGUGAAGAGGGAAACAACCCAGACCGCCAGCUAAGGUCCCAAAGUCAUGGUUAAGUGGGAAACGAUGUGGGAAGGCCCAGACAGCCAGGAUGUUGGCUUAGAAGCAGCCAUCAUUUAAAGAAAGCGUAAUAGCUCACUGGUCGAGUCGGCCUGCGCGGAAGAUGUAACGGGGCUAAACCAUGCACCGAAGCUGCGGCAGCGAACGUAUCACUUAAAGCGAUUCAGCGGGUUACGAUUGACGGAGCGAAGCGAC
rnacentral:rRNA from 1 species